UACGUAGGUGGCAAGCGUUGUUCGGAUUCAUUGGGCGUAAAGGGUGCGUAGGCGGCGCGGUAAGUCGGGUGUGAAAUCUCGGAGCUUAACUCCGAAACUGCAUUCGAUACUGCCGUGCUUGAGGAAUGGAGGGGGAGACUGGAAUACUUGGUGUAGCAGUGAAAUGCGUAGAUAUCAAGUGGAACACCAGUGGCGAAGGCGAGUCUCUGGACAUUUCCUGACGCUGAGGCACGAAAGCCAGGGGAGCAAACGGG
rnacentral:rRNA from 1 species